rnacentral:rRNA from 1 species
CGGGGUGCAGCAGGCGCGAAAACUUUGCAAUAAGCGAAAGCUUGACAGGGCUAUCCCGAGUGCCAUCCGCUGAGGAAGGCUUUUACCCAGUCUAGAACGCUGGGGGAAUAAGGAGAGGGCAAGUCUGGUGUCAGCCGCCGCGGUAAUACCAGCUCUCCGAGUGGUGUGGAUGUUUAUUGGGCCUAAAGCAUCCGUAGCUGGCUAAGUUAGUCCCUUGUUAAAUCCACCGAAUUAAUCGUUGGAUUGCGGGGGAUACUGCUUGGCUAGGGGACGAGAGAGGCAGACGGUAUUUUCGGGGUAGGGGUGAAAUCCUAUAAUCCCGGGAAGACCACCAGUGGCGAAGGCUGUCUGCUAGAACGCGCCCGACGGUGAGGGAUGAAAGCUGGGGGAGCGAACCGGAUUAGAUACCCGGGUAGUCCCAGCUGUAAACGAUGCAGACUAGGUGUUUGGACGGCCACGUGCCGUUCUAGUGCCGCAGGGAAGCUGUUAAGUCUGCCGCCUGGGGAGUACGAUCGCAAGAUUGAAACUUAAAGGAAUUGGCGGGGGAGCAC